rnacentral:rRNA from 1 species
GACGAACGCUGGCGGCGUGCCUAACACAUGCAAGUCGAGCGAAGUGAGUACUACGGUACGAACUUAGCGGCGGACGGGUGGGUAACGCGUGGACAAUCUACCCUGUAGACUGGGAUAACACCUCGAAAGUGGUGCUAAUACCGGAUAAUGUCGAGAAGCGGCAUCGCUUUUCGAAGAAAGGAGGGAAUCCGCUAUAGGAGGAGUCCGCGUCCCAUUAGCUAGUUGGUGAGGGUAACGGCCCACCAAGGCGACGAUGGGUAGCCGGCCUGAGAGGGUGAACGGCCACACUGGAACUGAGACACGGUCCAGACUCCUACAGGAGGCAGCAGUGGGGAAUAUUGUGCAAUGGGGGAAACCCUGACACAGCAACGCCGCGUGAGCGAAGAAGGCCUUCGGGUUGUAAAGCUCAAUAGUAUGGGAAGAUAAUGACGGUACCAUACGAAAGCCCCGGCUAACUACGUGCCAGCCGCCGCCGUAACAC